rnacentral:tRNA from 2 species
GGGCCGGUAGCUCAGGGGUAGAGCAAAUGACUCUUAAUCAUUAGGUCGAGGGUUCGAAUCCCUCCCGGCUCA